CAGAAGCUGAUUGCAUCCAAAGCAAAUGACCACCAAGGUUUUUAUCUUCUAAACAGUAUAAUAGAGCACAUGCCUCCUGAAUCAGUUGACCAAUAUAGGAAACAAAUCUUCAUUCUGCUAUUCCAGAGACUUCAGAAUUCCAAAACAACCAAGUUUAUCAAGAGUUUUUUAGUCUUUAUUAAUUUGUAUUGCAUAAAAUAUGGGGCACUAGCACUACAAGAAAUAUUUGAUGGUAUACAACCAAAAAUGUUUGGAAUGGUUUUGGAAAAAAUUAUUAUUCCUGAAAUUCAGAAAGUAUCUGGAAAUGUAGAGAAAAAGAUCUGUGCGGUUGGCAUAACCAAAUUACUAACAGAAUGUCCCCCAAUGAUGGACACUGAGUAUACCAAGCUGUGGACUCCAUUAUUACAGUCUUUGAUUGGCCUUUUUGAGUUACCCGAAGAUGAUACCAUUCCUGAUGAGGAACAUUUUAUUGACAUAGAAGAUACACCAGGAUAUCAGACUGCCUUCUCACAGUUGGCAUUUGCUGGGAAGAAAGAGCAUGAUCCUGUAGGUCAAAUGGUGAACAACCCCAAAAUUCACCUGGCACAGUCACUUCACAAGUUGUCUACCGCCUGUCCAGGAAGGACCUAUUUUUGAAGGCAUAAAAGCAGUUGAGUUUCUGGAGAAUCUUUGGAUGGUGAUUAAUGGCUUGACUGGCUGCUCUUCCCAGAGCUGUGGCAGCUGUCCUGUAGAAGAUGGGGUUUGUAUUGGUGCACCAAGAUCUCCAACAGCCAGUGUGUGUUUCCCAUCUCUUGUAGGUUCCAUCAAUGGUGAGCACCAGCCUGAACGCAGAAGCGCUCCAGUAUCUCCAAGGGUACCUUCAGGCAGCCAGUGUGACACUGCUUUAAACUGCAUUUUUCUAAUUGGCUAAACCCAGAUGGUUUCCUAGGAAAUCACAGACUUCUGAGCACGGCUGCAUUAAAACAAAGCAAGUUUUCCUUUUGAACUUGUCACGAAUUCCAUCUUGUAAAGGAUAUUAAAUGUUGCUUUAACCUGAACCUUGAGCAAAUUAGUUGGUUUGUGUGAUCAUACAUUUAUGUGGGUGGCUUCUAGUUUGCAACUUCAAGGGACAAGUAUUAAUAGUUCAGUGUAUGGCGUUGGUUUGCGUUGAGCAUUUGCACGGUUUGGAUAAUCUUAAAUUUUGACGGACACUGUGGAGACUUUCUGUUACUAAAUCCUUUUGUUUUGAAGCUGUUGCUAUUUGUAUUUCUCUUGUCUUUUAUAUUUUUUGUCUGUUUACGCUUUUAUUGGAAAUGUGAAUAAGUAAAGAAUUACUUGUGUUACUUGCCAAGCAGUGCACAUUUCAUAGUUUCAAAUCUGUAAUCAGCAAUAAAAAUCCUAAAAUAUGUACCUAAGAG
rnacentral:sRNA from 1 species